GGAUUAGCUAGUAGGUGAGGUAACGGCUUACCUAGGCGACGAUCCCUAGCUGGUCUGAGAGGAUGAUCAGCCACACUGGGACUGAGACACGGCCCAGACUCCUACGGGAGGCAGCAGUGGGGAAUAUUGCACAAUGGGCGCAAGCCUGAUGCAGCCAUGCCGCGUGUAUGAAGAAGGCCUUCGGGUUGUAAAGUACUUUCAGUCGGGAGGAAGGUGUCAAGGUUAAUAACCUUGGCAAUUGACGUUACCGACAGCAGAAGCACCGGCUCACUCCGUGCCAGCCGCCGCGGUAAUACGUAGGUGGCGAGCGUUAUCCGGAUUUACUGGGCGUAAAGGGAGCGUAGGCGGAUGAUUAAGUGGGAUGUGAAAUACCCGGGCUCAACUUGGGUGCUGCAUUCCAAACUGGUUAUCUAGAGUGCAGGAGAGGAGAGUGGAAUUCCUAGUGUAGCGGUGAAAUGCGUA
rnacentral:rRNA from 1 species